CUGUUUUUUAAUUUGACACAUGAAUAUUACUUUAAAAGAAUUUUUAACUGUUUAAAGCAUUAUCGAUUUAUAUAUAAACAAAUAAAAUUUAUGAAUAUGCCGAAGACGAAGAUUCUUUUGGAAAAACAAUUGACGAUCGUAACGCAAUAUUUUGCGCCACAUGUGUCUUAAUCGGCCGUAAAAAUGUGAUUAAAUGGAAUAACGCAGACAAUACUAUCUCGUCUGAAAAUUAAAUAUCCGUCUCAUUCAAUUUGCUCAACGACUUUAGAGUAAUUUUCUUUUUGGAGAGACAACAACAUUGAUGAUAAUUUCUGGAAUGAAACAGAAUCAAAGCAAAUUAUGGGCGUUCUCGAAGAAUAUAUAUUUUCGGAGUUAGAAAUCCAUAAAUUGCAUCAAUUAUUAAAGACAACAGAUCUCGAAGCAAAAUAUAUAAAAUAUUUUGCAGGAAGUUUUCGAAGACAUUUGUUGAUUUUCACUUAUAACGUCAUAACAAGAAAACUCGGCGUACGUUGCUGUCUAACAACAUAUAAAAAUGAUAUUGGAAUCAUAUGGAAACCAAAAUAUAAUACAAGUAUUCGGUGUAAUACAGAAUUCUUUUAUCUAAGUCUGAACCCUAAUCUAUCUUACCCAUCGAACGUUAUCAGUCAAAUUAUAUCCAAAUAAUGUAUUCUCUUCUGCGACUGUCCAU